AUUACUCGCUCCUAUUUAAUUCAAUUAAGUUAAUAGCUUUUAUCUAUUUAUUUACAAAUAAUACCAUAACCUAAACAUCCGUGUAUAUUAAUUUGUUUUUUGGAAAAGCAUGGCAUAGCACCUCACAGGUCUAGCAUGAGACCAUUACUAAUGGCAUGAGCCUAAUCUGGUUCCCUCCAUAACCUAUGAGGCUAUGACCUCCCUUUCAGGGACAAGGGUUUCUAGAUCAAAUGGGGGAUUAGGCCGAACGGGUUCCAGCAGCACAUCCAAAUACGAGACAUUCCAUGUUUCAUCAUUGUCACAACCGCUGUGAACAUGCAUUGCUACCUGUUCUGGAAGGUUCAAAGUGAUGACAACGGAAACCAGCUGGAAAACUGGAAGGUCAGGCCAUCCAGCAAGAGCAGAUGCAUGCCAAUCGAGUGGAAGUAACCAUAGCUGUCAAAUCCAAUCAGGCUAGGCUUGUAUCAAGGGCCAAUAUUUAUGUUGAGACUUCUAUUUUUCAAUUCUUAUCUGUCAAGCUAGGACUCACCCCUGUGUAGCCAAAAGUAAGUUCGGAAUCAACCAUCUGGUUACGUGAAUCUAACAACAUUCAUUUUCGAAACAAGAGCCCAGCACAGAUCAGGAUGCAUAAUUUGAUACAGCACAAUCUAUUGAUCUUGUGACCACACACUACAUAAUGGCAGAAACUAUUUGCAGACACUCACGAAGGACCACCUCUCUUCCAAAUACACAACAAACACAAGCCUUCAGGAAAACAAAACCGAUUCGCGAGUAUUACAUGACAACAAGCUGGGAGCUUAGUCCACCUCCUCCAUCUUGCUCUCCUCAGCGCCGUCUUCCUCCAGGGCAGGCAUGUCAGUAUCAUCACCAGCAGCCUCAUCCUCAUCAAUGCUAAGACCCAGUUUCAACAUCCUGUGAAUCCUAGCAGCAAAUGUGUUUGGAUCAUCAAGGCUGAAGCCAGAGGUUAGCAGGGCAGUCUCAAACAACAGUAACACGAGGUCCUUGACGGACUUGUCAUUCUUGUCAGCCUCGGCCCUCUUCCUCAAUUCCUCCAUGAUACCAUUGUCAGGGUUGAUCUCCAUGGUCUUCUUGCUUGACAUGUACGAGCUCAUGCUGUUGUCCCUCAACGCCUGAGCCUUCAUGAUCCUCUCCAUGUUAGCUGUCCAGCCAUACUCUCCUGUUACCAAACAGCAUGGAGAG